rnacentral:lncRNA from 1 species
UCAAAGUACCCACAAAGACACAGCUCCAUUUUUACAUUUUUAAAACAUAGAAACAAAAAUCCUCUGCCCGUAAGACAAAUAUACAAAACACGUAUAACCUAUUUGACUAACAGAAAUAUCUGCGGCAGCUCCUAGUAAUCCCAAGUCUCUUGUCAGACUUCAGUUCACAGUUAUUUAUUAUGCAUAUUGUUGCUCCCCUUUGCAAUGGCUACACCUGGUUGCUCGUUUGCCUUGUUAUCCCAUUGUUGCAUUUUGUGUAUCUCCCCUUUGUUGUUGCCAAGAUUGAAUCCUUCCUAUAUGUCACUUAUAUGUAACCGUUGUUGCUAUAUGUUCAGUGAAACAGGGUCUCCCAGUCAGCCCUUAGUUCAUUUAACCCGGGUUGUUGUCAUUUGUUGCAGGCUUUCCUUGCUCAUUUCCAGCCAACACCACAUUGUUUCGUUAAACCUUACAACUGCGCCAUCUCAUGAUAAUCCUGCAAUGCCAAAAAAUUGAAUCAUUGCACAUGCUUUAUAAUACCCACAUAGUGGCAGAAGGUAGUAUAGAUCAUAUGCACUCACUAAACCCAUUUGAGGUCAGUUUAGACCAUGAUCGCAGUAGCAUUUCAGCAUUGCUCUGUUCCUGGAACAUUGCCCAGACCUGGUGUGAAUUACCCAAGAAUACUUUCUAAGACACAAAGAUUGAUAUAAAGCAGAGACAAAUUAUCUUCUAUCAUUUAUUCACUUUGUUUUCCAGACCAAAGUGUAUCUGAAAAUCUCGAUUGACAAUCUAAUUAGACUCGUUCAUUUUGUACUGAAAUCAAAGCAUGCAUUCGUGAAAAUUUAAGAAUUUGAAGCCAUACCAGUAGCAAUACAAAAAAGUUGUGGACAAUACAAAUUGCAUAUCUGUCAACCAUAAUGUUAUAAGACCCAACAGUUCCAUUUAAAUGAUUUAGGGCAAUGGCAUAGUUUAACCUUUCAAAUAAUCUCUUCUUUUUUCCAUUCAUGUUCCCCAACAUAUACCAUGGAAAAGAACACCCCAUAUGAAGUUUUUAGAAUCAGGACAAAUGCUUGUAUUCUACACCCACCCAAUAGAUCAAAUUCCAUAGGCAGGUCCUUGAAAGUUAGCAAUAAGAAAUAGUCAGAACUUGUAAAAAGUACCAAUCGCUGACCAAUACUUAUAUAAAAAUGAAGAUGUGAAGCGUCCAUUGAUAAGUGUUCUAUUUGCUCCCCAAUGUAAGAUCACGGGUGUAACUUCUAGCUCCUCAAUUAUGAUUUAGACAUCCGGCCUUGAUGGAUAUUAUAAUUCACUUGAGUUUUAUUUACAAUAAGAAGACUGUUGUUUCAACUUUUAAGUGUUCUUUAAUUUCCCCUAGUUUAUUAAAAAUUUGAGAAGAAGAUAGAGCAAUUCGAAGAGAAAUGAAAGAGAACUACACUGUGGAACUAAAAGAAAAAGUUGUUAAUGGGAUGAUUGUCAUUUGUCCUAGUCAAACUAUUACAAAUUUAUUUGAUUUAGGUCCGGGCAAUGAAGAACAAUUUUAGUACCACUUACUUAUAUAUCCGAGAGACUAUAGCUAGCUAUGGCUUCUCUUUCCUCACUUACUCUCGCUCACACUCAAGAUGAUAUGUUUUCUCUUGCACUAACUUCUUCAAAACUUUGAAUGUUUAGUGUGUUAUUGAGUGGCUACAAAACAUAUUUAGUAAUAACUGCCCCAAGACCUACUCAUUGUUUCAAUAUAUAUUCUCUGAGUAAUAUACUGUAUUAGUUUUUUGGCACCAUUAUAGCACCCACAAACAUACAAAACCAUUAAAAGGGGAAAAAAAAAAAAAGACACAGAAAAUUGUAAUCUACCUUUUCAAACACCUUGAGGUUCUCCAAAUUAGUUCAUAUUAGAUGCGAAUGAGCCUGUGGCGCAACGGUAGCAGCCCUCUCACAAAAGCGGAAAGGUUGUGGGUUCGAAACACAUCAGCAGCAGAUUGUUGAUAAAAGUUUUCUCACGUAAUUGAAAAGGGGGUAGAGGUCCCCUCAACCUUGCUUGUCAAAAAAAAAAAAAAACAAACUCAUAUUAGAUACAAAAUACAUUUAAACAAUUUUGACUUCAAACAAACUUCAUUUAGUCUCACAAAACAGAAUAUUGUAUAUUGGAAUUCCAUUAUCAGUUUUAUAGGGACAAUACCUAGCAACUUACAACUAAAGCCUUAAACGACAUGACUCCUAUGACCUAUCAUAAUUUGGACAUCAAGUGGUAGAAAGUACCUGAUUAUAAGCUUAAACCAAUCUGACAACUGAAAUAUUACUUCCUUACACCUCCGUGAAACUAAUAUCCAAUAGAGCUAAACAGUCUGCAGUCACAAAUAAAUAUUAUGAACCUGCCAUAUUUUUGUCUAAAUAAUGAUAAAGUGUGAUGAAAAAGGCAUAACUAACUUAAUGCAUUGUAUUGAAUAAUAACUAAUUGCACCAUAGUCAAGAUAAAGUUCAGAAUGUGUAAAGGGAGACAUUAGUACAUUACCAUAAGUGCAAAGAACACUCUUAGACAUACGCAAGUAUUGUCAUUACCAUGUCAGAUAGUAAAAUUAAGAGAACCCUUGAACUGACAUUAUAUAUAUUGUUUAUGUUUUUAUUCUCUAUGUUUUCCUCUCUCCUAUUUUUACUAACAUGCUAAUCCCUUAACCCAGUUUCCUUAAUAUAUGUGGCAGUUUUAUGAGGAGGCUAGGCGGUCCUCUUUAAAAGUGACCGGAUGGUCCUGCUAGCAUUUCUUUAAAAUUUAUAUACUGCUAAUUCUGUAACUGAUCACAUUUCUUUCAAGAUAAUAAAUUAUAAAGCUCAAGGAAAAUUAGUAAAUAGUUAAUUUGCAAAUAGAACUUGACUGAAUAAUAUAAAAAAUGUUGCAGUACCUGGGGUACUACCAAUAUUCAAGAACUUGUAAAAGAAAUUCUAAAAAUUAAAAACUUCAAUAAUGAUAAACUUAAUAAUACUACUUUGAAAAUUCCAUUCUUAUUUUCCUUCAUUUUCUGUUUUGAUUCUCUUCAACUUCUUGUAGCUAGAUGGAUACUUAUUUCCUUCAUCUUGAGCUCUGGUAUUUCUUCAAUCUUUAGUAUUGACAUAGAUGAUAUGUCCUUUGUUGUCCAAUUGUAUGAGUUGAUUUGAACGUAAAAUAAUGUCUCUUUACCGACCAAUUCUUGAAAUUUUUUGUCUUCCUUUUGUUUGAUUGAGCUUUUCUGAAUAAAUCUGCCUAACAUUUUGACUGCUAAUCUACUUAUAAUAAACACAACAUUACAUCACUACAUAAAAUUUUGAAACCAAAACCAUAUUAUUUAAUCAUUUGGUUUUCAAGUAGUGGAUCAAAAUAAACAUUUCCAUAAAUUAGAGGAAAUUGGUGUGCGUUGUGGCCUGUGGAGAGUGGUGAGUGGUGAUGACUAUGAAGCAGUAGUGAUGGGGACAAAGAAUAUAGUUAGAGGGAAGGUGAUGUAGGAUAAUUAGGGUAUCUUACGCAUCUGCCUUGCUCACACUUAAGUUAUUAAGAUAAGUAUACUUUCUAUAUCCAUUUAUCCUUAGCUAAGUAAUUGUAGUUCCCCUAAAAAAUUGUUAUGUAUGUACCUAUCAUUCAUGAGGAAGAUAUCUCGAACAUAAGUUUGUCGCUCUCCAAUCGUCCUUUGUUGUGAUUCCUUGUAAUAAUGUAGUCUGCCCAUUAUAUCUUGACAAAUUAAAAAGAAGAAGAAAAUGAUUAGUAAUCAUACAAAGUUGGUUUUGGUAUUGAGUAAUAGAGACUUUAAAAUUGGAUGUAUUCAUAUUACGGUAUUACCCAUGCUUCUGUCGUUUUCUAUUCUAUAGUAGGUGGCCACUUCGGAAUAUUCUUCAAAGUCAUAGUUGUACAUAGGAAAAUCUGCGAUGUCCUAUUCGAUUGUCUUUAUAAUGGUAUAGUUUUGCAACCCAAUCUCACAGCCGUUAUCUUUAUAUCUUCUCUGGAUUUCCCAAGAUUUGAAUUUGGUAAAAGUACAAAUUCUUCCUUGAGCGAUUCUUUCUUCGAAGUUUUGAAGGUCGUAAGCAUUAAACUUUGCAUGGAUUUUGUCUCCCUGUUUCAAAAGAUAGAAAUCAGUUUGUUUAGGAGUAAAGGUUAUCCAUUAUAAAGCUAUAUUUCAAUCAUGUACAUGCAUUCAAAAUAAAUUGAAGAUAAAAAUUUCAGAGUAGGAGUAUGAUGAAUUGGAGUAUGUAGACUUGUGAACAUUGUCAAUAUAUUUCAAUAACCCAGGUCUUAGUGAAAGUUACAUGGAACAUUGUACCUUAUGCAAUCAUUUUGAUCGUAUGGUAUACCAGAAAUUAAAUUGAUUCGGAAAAUGGAUUGUUCGGCAUGGAUAAUGCAGUGAAACAAAUCAAGCUUACUCUAUGGUCAUAGCUGGAUAUCAUGGGCAAGUAAGUGGAUGUAAAAAACAAUUUGCAGGUCACUGCAUUACUGGACAGUUAGGAAGAUUUGUUGAUUGACAGGUGGUAACAAAGCUCAGGUUCAGGGCUAAGGCAGGGAUGGCUAAUGUGUUGAUGUUGAGGUCUUGGGGUACUGCUGUAUAGUGUGAAAUUGGAGGUCUGUUACAUUGUUUUUAAUCUAAGCUAGUUUCUAUGUCGACUCAGUGAUAGGGGACAACAGCAGAUUGUAAAAUGUUGGUAGCGUUGUAUGGAGUCUGCAAUUUUUAUAAUGUGUCUCAGUUGUACUUUGGCUGCUGAGAUUCAAUGAAAGAUACUACAUUAAUCCCAACAAAAACAAAAAACAUUCUGUUUGGUUUCAAUGCAUAUUUUAAAACAUUAGAUGAUGGAAGCAUAGGAACCCAAUAUAUGCACGCCUACAGUAGGUGUUGACAAUAAACCCCAGAUGAACGGUGUAAAGUGUUGACAACCCAAUCUAAAUUUAACGCCAUACCAUCAUUCUAUCAAAUUUGUGAAGCUCGGAUCAAUAUUAAUGUUAAAAUUAACAAUAAGACCAAAGUCUUACCUUGUUAUACUGUCACCUGAACAAUCUUGGCAACACGCAUAGCCUAGACACCUACAAUUAGUUAGCCAAACAACAAUACAUUAAUCAUCUUUCAAUCAGGAUCAAAGCAGGAACAGUCAAUAAGAACCUAUAAGCACAGAAUUAGUAUAAUCUACACUUCAUUAUCUAUGAGCAUAGUGAAACAGUCAAUAAAAAACUAUUGUCUUCGAUAAACAAAACUUAGAUUCUAUCUCAUUAACGUCUCUAUAAAAACAAUAAAAUCAACUUCGUGCUCAGGCCUGACAAUUCUUAGAAAUGAGAUUAAAUGGCUCGGGAUUUCAAUCUAGACUCUAGAGCCUCUCACAAUUUAGACUGCAUAGAGAAUUUCAAUGGUUUCAUAGGGUAUGCUGAGAUCAAAAGGUCCUCUGUCUGGGAAUUUGCAUUUCCUAGCUUAAACCACAUCGCAAAACCUCCACACAAAAUUAUAGAAUAUGCCAGUUGCAACCAUUGAAAGCGUAUGAAAGAAACAAUUGAAAACAGUUUCUCCAAUCUGACAUUUAUGUAUUCUGAAAUGAUUAAUUAAUGUGUACUUAGUGAGAUAAUAUUGAUAAACUCAUGUCAUAUUAAUGAGUACAUCCUAAGUACCAUCAUUUGCUAACAUUUGCUAGCACUUUUUUUUAAGGUUUUAUACUUCUAUUGAAAGCAGUGAUUAAGCUAUCUAAAUUAUUGACUUGAAUCAGGAAUUCAAAAUUAUAGGCGUACUUGCCUAUAUGAUGAAUCAAAUAAUGCAAUCAUGUAAUUGCCUACCAAUCAAAUGUAAAUGGAUUACCUUCCAAUAAUAUUUAGCAGUGUUGUAAACCACUAUCUGAAAAUCUAGUCGAUGUGCAGUCAUGUCAUAUUAAUGAGUACAUUCUAAGUACCAUCAUUUGCUAACAUUUGCUAGCACUUUUUUUUAAGGUUUUAUACUUCUAUUGAAAGCAGUGAUUAAGCUAUCAAAAUUAUUGACUUGAAUCAGGAAUUCAAAAUUAUAGGCGUACUUGCCUAUAUGAUGAAUCAAAUAAUGCAAUCAUGUAAUUGCCUACCAAUCAAAUGUAAAUGGAUUACCUUCCAAUAAUAUUUAGUAGUGUUGUAAACCACUAUCUGAAAAUCUAGUCGAUGUGCAGUCGUUGUUCACAUUAAUGAUCAUAAAAACUUCACUAUUCUAAGGAUGAUGAAAAAUUAUGAAACAGUUUGAUUCAUAUGCCACCAUUUCCAACCUCGUAAAAAAUUUAAAUUUUUUGAACAAAAUCAAAGAUGAACUAAAUUCACGAAAAGAAAAAAGGUCUUUGUCAGAAUGUUCUAAAAUAAACCAUAACCAAUUCACUAUUGUCUAUGCAUAAUAGGAUUUGCAAAUGAUGUUAAUAUUGAUUUGUUCAAUAAAAAUUGGGGAUGAACGUUAGUAUUCAUACUGAAAAAAAAAAACUUACUUUCAAUUGAAUAAGACCAUAGAUGAAGAUAAUCAUGCCUUCCUUGUAAUCUGGUUAGCUGGAAAAGUCUUGGAUGUUCACCUGCAUUAAAGAAAAGGGUUAGUAACUAAUAUGCCAUCAUUUUACCAAUUUUUCUUAAUAUGCAAUUAAGGGAAUAAAAAAAAAAGGUUGAAAACUUGAUUUCUGCAAUUUAGGGGGCUUGAAUUUGACCAAUGACCACACCUCAGACCCCAGAGGUUCAGUUUCAGUUAAUUACUAAAUUAACUGAAAGAAUUAAUAGCUUUCAAAGAAUAAACAUACUCCAAUAGCUUUUAAAUAAUUUGCUUUGGUUAAUUACUAAAUUACAUGAGUAGGACGUAUCUCUGAUUACUAAUUCAAAUCACGUACCUAAGAUUAACAAUUACUAAUGCAAAUUUUUGUCUAAAGGUUCGCAGUAAAACUAUACCCUAUAGUAUUGGGGCACAAACCAGUAGUAGAUACAUAGUCAGAAAAUUAAACAGGGCAGAAGAAGAAAUUGGGUUUUUUGAAAACCUAGGUUAAUUAGGCACAAAUCAGUAGUAGAUACAAUUAAACAUGGCAGAAGAAGAAAUUGGGUUUUGAAUUCUAUUUUGAAAACCUAGGUUAAUUAGAGAGAAAUAAAACCUACAUCGAACAAUGAAAGCAACAUUUGAAAUAAAACUUUCUUAAUCAUUAAAACAAUCAAUAUAGAAGAUGGAAAUACUAAAACUUAAUUAGAAGAUUGGGUACCUUGAAGGUGUGAACAUUGGAAACGAAGAGGAUGAUGAUGUAGAUGGAAGAGAUUAAGAUUUAGCA